GAAUACGUUGUAACAUUAUUAACCAGUCAGCAUGUUGUACAACAGAUCUCUUGAACUAUUCCUCCUAAUCUAACUGAGAUUUUGUUGCUUUAAUUCUUAAAUCUCAAAAGGGUCAUCUCCUACAGCUCACUGCAAUGUGGGUUUCUGGCAAAAGCAAUUAUACCUGCAGGCUGGAAGACAGCAAGUGAAGAACCACACAUUCUCCAUUUCUCAGCCCGAGAAGUCGAGGACAUGUGACUACCUGGUUUUUCCAUUUCUCUCAGGCAGCUACCUGGAUGCCACCCUGACAGCAUCAAAAUGUGCUGCUCCUCAAGUUACCAGUGAAUCCUUAUUCACACUGAAAUAAACUCAGCUUCUUUCAGACCAUUAAAAAAGAAACCUGAAAGCCCCCCACAAAACAAAACAAAACAAAAAAACCCAAACAAAAAAAACUUCAUGAAGCAGUCAUCACAGAGGAUAUCAGUAAUUAUGGCAGGAGAGCCUCUAGUGUUGCUCAGAAUCAACGUUAGGCCAGCAGGUGUGUCCCCAAGUGUCUAUGAACAUGUCACUCGGAGGGAGCCAUCGCCUGGGGAACCUGAAUGAAUAAGCAGCUGCAGUUACACUCACAUGCGUUGGCUGAGACUGUUCCAUCACAAGUACAUCCAACUUUAAAUAAAAGGUACUUGGGCAUGUGAAUACGUUCUAUGCCCCCAACGCCAAAUGCCAGUUUACUGAAUCAUCACACAAGCCAGCAUUUACUGGGUCUGACCAAACGUAUGCGGUGAGUCAGCAUUUGGACUCUUCACUGUAAGCCUAAAAAUUAGUUCUUCCAUUUGCCCCCUUUUUGCAGUUGAAGAAGUAUUGGUUGACUUGGUUGAAUUCCACAGCAGAGCCAGAAUUUGUACACAGAUUAAGAAUACAGAACCUGUAUUUUGCUAAAUUCACUUGCUUCGUAAUAAAAUAAAAAUCCUACAUGACAAAAGACACUUAAAGGAUAUCACAGAGCACUGGUACUCCUAUGUCUGAAAAGAACCUUCUCAUUUAGCUUCAGUGUGACUACUUAUUUCCAACUCACUCAACUCCAGGGUUGAAGCACCAAUCAUG
rnacentral:lncRNA from 1 species